rnacentral:rRNA from 1 species
UACAAAGGGGGGCUAGCGUUGUUCGGAUUUACUGGGCGUAAAGCGCACGUAGGCGGAUCGUUAAGUCGGGGGUGAAAUCCUGGAGCUCAACUCCAGAACUGCCUUCGAUACUGGCGAUCUUGAGUCCGGAAGAGGUGAGUGGAACUCCUAGUGUAGAGGUGGAAUUCGUAGAUAUUAGGAAGAACACCAGUGGCGAAGGCGGCUCACUGGUCCGGUACUGACGCUGAGGUGCGAAAGCGUGGGGAGCAAACAGGG